rnacentral:rRNA from 1 species
CCCUCAGAUGUUCUGGGCCGCACGCGCGCUACACUGACGAAUGCAACGAGCUUAUAACCUUGGCCGAAAGGUCUGGGUAAUCUCCAAAUUUCGUCGUGAUGGGGAUAGAUUAUUGCGAUUAUUAAUCUUCAACGAGGAAUGCCUAGUAAGCGCAAGUCAUCAGCUUGCGUUGAUUACGUCCCUGCCCUUUGUACACACCGCCCGUCGCUCCUACCGAUUGAAUGGUCCGGUGAAGCGUUCGGACCGUGGCCUUUGGACGGUUCGCCGUCUGUUGGCUGCGGGAAGUUCGUUAAACCUUAUCAUUUAGAGGAAGGAGAAGUCGUAACA